rnacentral:sRNA from 1 species
GGGCGGCAACGGGUCAAGAUUGCCCAUUGCACGUCGUCCAUGCUGUAGAUGUCGACGUCGGUGUCGAUGACCGUAAUCUGCUUGGCCCAGAUUGGCUCGGCGCCGAUCGUCGCC